rnacentral:rRNA from 1 species
UACGUAGGUGGCAAGCGUUGUCCGGAUUUACUGGGCGUAAAGCGCCCGCAGGCGGCCUGUCAAGUUCGAGGUGAAAUCUCCCGGCUUAACUGGGAGGGUGCCUCGAAAACUGGCAGGCUUGAGGUGUGGAGAGGGAUGCAGAAUUCCUGGUGUAGCGGUGAAAUGCGUAGAUAUCAGGAGGAACACCGGCGGCGAAGGCGGGACUCUGGGCCAGUACUGACGCUGAUGCGCGAAAGCGUGGGGAGCAAACAGG